rnacentral:rRNA from 1 species
CAGCAGCCGCGGGAAUACGUAGGGUGCAAGCGUUAAUCGGAAUUACUGGGCGUAAAGCGUGCGCAGGCGGUUUUGUAAGACAGAGGUGAAAUCCCCGGGCUCAACCUGGGAACUGCCUUUGUGACUGCAAGGCUAGAGUACGGCAGAGGGGGAUGGAAUUCCGCGUGUAGCAGUGAAAUGCGUAGAUAUGCGGAGGAACACCGAUGGCGAAGGCAAUCCCCUGGGCCUGUACUGACGCUCAUGCACGAAAGCGUGGGGAGCAAACAGGAUUAGAUACCCCCGUAGUCCCUGUCUCUUAUAU